rnacentral:rRNA from 1 species
CAGCAGCCGCGGUAAUUCCAGCUCCAAUAGCGUAUAUUAACGUUGUUGCAGUUAAAAAGCUCGUAGUUGAAGUUUAGAUAAUUUAUUGAAAGUGUUUGUAUUCGUACAUUCUACUUUUAUGUAAGUUAUCGACAUCCAGGUGGGUGCUCUGAUUCCUUCGGGGGUUAGGGUACUAGACUGGUCAUUUACUGUGAGAAAAUUAGAGUGUUUAAAGCAGACUUUUAUCAAAAUAGUUUGAAUAGAUUAGCAUGGAAUAAUAAGAUUGGCUUUCAUAGUCGAUUUUUUGGUUUGUUUAUGAAAGCAAGAUUAAUAGGGACAGUUGGGGGUAUUCAUAUUCAAUAGCUAGA